rnacentral:lncRNA from 1 species
GAAGAAUGAAGAUGAAAUUAUUACGUAAUUUUGAUAUAAUGAGGAAUUUUAAGUGCAAGUCAUGUAAUAUGUUGUAGAGAUAUACAUUCUGAGUAUUUGGAUAUUGUAUUGAGUUUAAUUAUAUUUUUGAGCAAGGGAUUUGUAAGGGACCUAUUAGAGUUGAAUUGAUAUUAUUUAAAUAUGUAUAAACCAUGUUUAUAGGUUGUAAUAUAUGCAUUAUGGUUUUGUAUGGAGAUAUUCAUGUAUUUAAACAUUUGAGUUUUAAUACAAUGAAAGUUUUUUAAAAGAUUGCCAUUUCUAGCCCAUUGGUCAUAUACCACCAGCAAAUGGUGUCACAGCAG